rnacentral:rRNA from 1 species
UUGCUUCUGCGGAUCAGUGGCGAACGGGUGAGUAACACGUGAGCAAUCUGCCCUUGACUCUGGGAUAAGCGUUGGAAACGACGUCUAAUACCGGAUACGACCCUCGGAGGCAUCUCCUGGGGGUGGAAAGAAUUUUGGUCAAGGAUGAGCUCGCGGCCUAUCAGCUUGUUGGUGAGGUAAUGGCUCACCAAGGCGACGACGGGUAGCCGGCCUGAGAGGGUGACCGGCCACACUGGGACUGAGACACGGCCCAGACUCCUACGGGAGGCAGCAGUGGGGAAUAUUGCACAAUGGGCGCAAGCCUGAUGCAGCAACGCCGCGUGAGGGACGACGGCCUUCGGGUUGUAAACCUCUUUUAGUAGGGAAGAAGCGAAAGUGACGGUACCUGCAGAAAAAGCACCGGCUAACUACGUGCCAGCAGCCGCGGUAAUACGUAGGGUGCAAGCGUUGUCCGGAAUUAUUGGGCGUAAAGAGCUCGUAGGCGGUUUGUCGCGUCUGCUGUGAAAACCCGAGGCUCAACCUCGGGCCUGCAGUGGGUACGGGCAGACUAGAGUGCGGUAGGGGAGAUUGGAAUUCCUGGUGUAGCGGUGGAAUGCGCAGAUAUCAGGAGGAACACCGAUGGCGAAGGCAGAUCUCUGGGCCGUAACUGACGCUGAGGAGCGAAAGCAUGGGGAGCGAACAGGAUUAGAUACCCUGGUAGUCCAUGCCGUAAACGUUGGGAACUAGAUGUGGGGACCAUUCCACGGUCUCCGUGUCGCAGCUAACGCAUUAAGUUCCCCGCCUGGGGAGUACGGCCGCAAGGCUAAAACUCAAAGGAAUUGACGGGGGCCCGCACAAGCGGCGGAGCAUGCGGAUUAAUUCGAUGCAACGCGAAGAACCUUACCAAGGCUUGACAUAUACCGGAAAAGUUCAGAAAUGUUCUCCCCGCAAGGUCGGUAUACAGGUGGUGCAUGGUUGUCGUCAGCUCGUGUCGUGAGAUGUUGGGUUAAGUCCCGCAACGAGCGCAACCCUCGUCCUAUGUUGCCAGCACGUAAUGGUGGGAACUCAUGGGAUACUGCCGGGGUCAACUCGGAGGAAGGUGGGGAUGACGUCAAAUCAUCAUGCCCCUUAUGUCUUGGGCUUCACGCAUGCUACAAUGGCCGGUACAAAGGGCUGCAAUACCGUAAGGUGGAGCGAAUCCCAAAAAGCCGGUCUCAGUUCGGAUUGAGGUCUGCAACUCGACCUCAUGAAGUCGGAGUCGCUAGUAAUCGCAGAUCAGCAACGCUGCGGUGAAUACGUUCCCGGGCCUUGUACACACCGCCCGUCAAGUCAUGAAAGUCGGUAACACCCGAAGCCAG